rnacentral:rRNA from 1 species
ACGCUCGACACCUACGGGAGGAGCAGUAGGGAAUCUUCCACAAUGGACGCAAGUCUGAUGGAGCAACGCCGCGUGAGUGAAGAAGGUUUUCGGAUCGUAAAGCUCUGUUGUUGGUGAAGAAGGAUAGAGGUAGUAACUGGCCUUUAUUUGACGGUAAUCAACCAGAAAGUCACGGCUAACUACGUGCCAGCAGCCGCGGUAAUCUGAGCGGGCUGGCAAGGC